GGAUAUAGCUUAGUUGGUAGAGUGCUUGCAUUGCAUGCAGAAGGCCCUGGGUUUGAUCUCCAGCACCA
rnacentral:tRNA from 1 species